rnacentral:rRNA from 1 species
UUAACGGAAAGCCGCAGUGAAUAGGCCCAAGCGACUGUUUAGCAAAAACACAGCUCUCUGCGAAGCCGUAAGGCGAAGUAUAGGGGGUGACACCUGCCCGGUGCUGGAAGGUUAAGGAGAGGGGUUAGCGUAAGCGAAGCUCUGAACUGAAGCCCCAGUAAACGGCGGCCGUAACUAUAACGGUCCUAAGGUAGCGAAAUUCCUUGUCGGGUAAGUUCCGACCCGCACGAAAGGCGUAACGA